GGCACUAUAGUGUAGUGGUUUAUCACUUGGGAUUUUGAUACGUAUUGCGGACCGGCCCCUAACCGUGCCGGUCCGCGAUCCGUGGAUCUUCCCAUAACCCAGGUUCGAACCCUGGUAGUGCCU